UAAAAGAUAGCUUGACUCUUUGUUUGGGGCUCAGUCCUUUGGAUGUUAAUCUGACUAGGUCGGUGCAUCUAAAUAAUUAAAUAAUUCCUCCUCAACCCCUCGGUCUCUCUGAUUCCUUAAUUAUCCUGCAGCAUUUCUGGUGACCCGGACAGGGAUUGGAGAUGGCAGAUUUACUGUCUCCUUUGUCUGUGGGACUAGAGCCCCACGGCCAGGGGAGACCUGGUAUCCAAGGCGUGCCGUAGGGGAGCUUCACCUGGAUGGAGACUGGCUCUCCCGGCAUCCCAGUGGCCUAGCUGGCUGCACAACGGAACUGGAGACGGGGCUGCAGCAUGAUACCAGCACUUCAGUUGCAGGUGUCACACCUUGGAUUCACCAUAGCCGCCUGAAACCAGUGGCAGCAGUGACUCCCGACGAUGACCAGUGGAUUAGCCAACAAGACCCAGAUUGUCCCACCCGAAUGCUCCUACGGCAAAACCCAACCACCGGUAAGAAGGACGACUGCCCUGCUCUGACCACACCAGAGGCUGGUCAGUCUACAUAUGGCUGAAGCUUGAGGAUCCUACAAGCUCUGCUCUAGUCACAUCCUGGAAGCUGACUAGUCUAUGCAUGGCCGAAGCUAAGAGGAC
rnacentral:lncRNA from 10 species